rnacentral:rRNA from 1 species
UACGGAGGGGGCUAGCGUUGUUCGGAAUUACUGGGCGUAAAGCGCACGUAGGCGGCUUUGUAAGUUAGGGGUGAAAGCCCGGAGCUCAACUCCGGAACUGCCUUUAAGACUGCAUCGCUUGAAUCAUGGAGAGGUCAGUGGAAUUCCGAGUGUAGAGGUGAAAUUCGUAGAUAUUCGGAAGAACACCAGUGGCGAAGGCGGCCCACUGGUCCGGUACUGACGCUGAGGUGCGAAAGCGUGGGGAGCAAACAGG